rnacentral:tRNA from 1 species
GCGGGCGUAGCUCAGUGGUAGAGCGUCUCCUUGCCAAGGAGAAGGCCGUGAGUUCGAACCUCAUCGCCCGCUCCU